rnacentral:rRNA from 1 species
AACGAACGCUGGCGGCAGGCCUAACACAUGCAAGUCGAACGCUGCAGCAAUGCAGAGUGGCAGACGGGUGAGUAACGCGUGGGAACCUUCCCAAUGGUACGGAAUAGCCCAGGGAAACUUGGGGUAAUACCGCAUAAGCCCCAUGGGGGAAAGAUUUAUCGCCAUUGGAUGGGCCCGCGUCGGAUUAGCUAGUUGGUGAGGUAACGGCGCACCAAGGCGACGAUCCGUAGCUGGUUUGAGAGAAUGACCAGCCACACUGGGACUGAGACACGGCCCAGACUCCUACGGGAGGCAGCAGUGGGGAAUCUUGGACAAUGGGCGAAAGCCUGAUCCAGCCAUGCCGCGUGAGUGACGAAGGCCUUAGGGUUGUAAAGCUCUUUUGGCGGGGACGAUAAUGACGGUACCCGCAGAAUAAGUCCCGGCUAACUUCGUGCCAGCCGCCGCAGUAA